GUGGUGUGCUGUGGAGCCAUGGGGGAGCAUUGGGCGCUGGGCCCGGAGGCAGGCUCCUCCUUGCUGUUGUGCUCAGCGCUGCUGGCCGUAGGGUGCGCGCUGGGCCUGCGCCUGGGCCGCGGGCGGAGCGCGGUGGAGCGUUGGGUGCUCGCCUGGCUCUGCUACGACUCACUGGUUCACUUUGUGCUGGAAGGCGCUUUUGUCUACUUGUCUAUAGUAGGAAAUGUUGCAGAUUCCCAAGGCUUGAUUGCAUCUUUAUGUAAGUAAUUAAAAACAUUUGCAUUUGAAAUGUCUGAGGAAAUUAAUGGCAAGAAUGGCUGUCAAUUAACCGAAUGUCUGCAUCACAUAUUGUGUGAUUCCAUUUACACGUCCUGUCCAGAAGAGGUGAAUCUUUAGAGACGGAUAACAAAUUAGUGGUUGCUUGGGACUGGGGAUGAGAGUAGGGAUGAGGGGGACAGCGGAUGACUGCUGGUGGGCGUGGCUUUCUCUUUGAAAUGUUCUCCCUUAGAUUGUGUCUAUUCAAAUCUGUGAAUGUUCUAAAAUUGGGAUUGUAUGCCUUGUGAAUUACAUCUCGGCAAAGCUAUAUAUUAAGCAGUGUGUAUACAGCUGGGUGUGGCUCAGUGGCAAAGUACUUGCCUGACAUGUGUGGACCCCAGUGCAACACUGUAAAACAAAGAAGAUCGAAAGGCCUGCAGUGUUUAAACUAGGUGCUUUCCCUAUAGAUUGUCUAUAUAAAUUUACUUUUAAGAAAGUUGUUCUUGCCAGGCAGUGGUGGCUCAUGCCUUUAAUCCCAGCACUUGGGAAGCAAGAGGCGGGCGGAUUUCUGAGUUCGAGGCCAGCCUGGUCUACAGAGUGAGUUCCAGGACAGCCAGGGCUAUACAGAGAAACCCUGUUUUGAAAAACAAACAAAAAACAAACAACCCCCCCCCAAAAGAAGAAGAAGAAAGAAAUCAAUUCUUAUUCGGUAUCCUCAGAGGCCAGACGACGGCAUCAGCUCUGCUGGAGUUGAAUUACAGGUAGUGUGAGAUGCCCGUGUGGAGCUGCCCGGUGUGGAUGCUGGGAGCUGAACUCAGGUCUGAGAAAAGCACAUACACUCUUAACUGCUGAGCCAUUUCUCCGGCCCACAGUUUACUUUUGAUUGUAUGCUUAUACCUGUCUUCUUCUAGAUAAUUCUCCAAAAGUCCUCCUGCCCUGUAGAGCUGUCAAGUAGUUUCCCCGUUUUCUUAACACUCAAUGUAAAUCAACCAACAUUUACUCAACUAAUACUGACUUCCCAGUGUGUUCUGUACCGAUACGGUUAAGUCAGUGAGCCAGACACCAGCAUCUCUGUUACUUGCCUUCAGGUUUGCCAUCUGCAGUUCUGCACUGUGUGCUGUGUGUCUUUCUUUUUCCUUAUUUUAUUAUUUUACUCUGCUUUUAUUUUAUCUUGAUUUAUUUAUAGAGUGUCUAGGUGUGUGGUAUAUACAAGUAUAUGUGGGUGUGUGUUUUAUGUUCUUAUUUUAUUUCUUUUGUGAUUUUAAUUUUUAUUUAUUUAUUCUCUGUGUGUGUGCAUGCAUGCGUGUGCAUGUGUGCGUGCCCAUGAAGGACAGGGGACAUGUUUUGUGAGUUGGUUCUCUCCUUCCAACACAUGGUCCCCUGGAAUCAGACUAAGGUUGCCUGCCAGACUUGGUGACAGGGGCCCUUAAAGGCUGAGCCAUCUCACCAGUCCUAAUUUAUGAUUUUAUUUUAUUAUCUUAUCUUUUAGUACUGAGGAUGGAGCUUCCUGAUCGAUUGUGUUGUUAAGUGUGUUCUGAGUUCCUGAUCGCUUGUGUUGUUAAGUGUGUUCUGAGUUCCUGAUCGCUUGUGUUGUUAAGUGUGUUCUGAGUUCCUGAUCGCUUGUGUUGUUAAGUGUGUUCUGAGUUCCUGAUCGCUUGUGUUGUUAAGUGUGUUCUGAGUUCCUGAUCGCUUGUGUUGUUAAGUGUGUUCUGAGUUCCUGAUCGCUUGUGUUGUUAAGUGUGUUCUGAGUUCCUGAUCGCUUGUGUUGUUAAGUGUGUUCUGAGUUCCUGAUCGCUUGUGUUGUUAAGUGUGUUCUGAGUUCCUGAUCGAUUGUGUUGUUAAGUGUGUUCUGAGUUCCUGAUCUCUUGUGUUGUUAAGUGUGUUCUGAGUUCCUGAUCGAUUGUGUUGUUAAGUGUGUUCUGAGUUCCUGACUGCUUGUGUCCUUAAGUGUGAACUGGGUUCCUGAUCGCUUGUGUUGUUACGCGUGAGCUUCAUCCCUUUGCCAUGUCACCUAGCCCUGUUGUGUUUUCAUCAUGCCCUGAAAUCACGUGCUCACACAAAGGUCUGUGUGGACACUCUUACUCACUAUCAGCGUUAGAAAAUGUCUAAAGAAUUGAACUGUCUCAGUUCAGCCAUUACUUCCGAACACAAAAUGUGUCCUCUUUGGUCCCUUCAGGCCUGUGCUGCGGACAGGCAGAGAUCUGAGCCCCUUUGGCCAGAGUCUUGCUCCAAGAUUUGGGGGAAAUGUCUGUAUUAAACUUCGCUUCAGGUUGGCUGAAAAGUAUUGAGGCUUGAGGACCCCGCCUGAGCCACUACCCUCCUCAUGUGUGUUCAGUGGUCCCCUUUCUGAGAAGCCAGGCUGCAGCUCCCUCCCUGGCUACCCUGCUUUGGGCAUCACUGAAAGGGAACAGACCAGGUGUGGCCCAAGUCCAUGAAAAGAUGAUUGACAGGCCCUUCCUACGUCACUGCCUUUAGGUGAACUGCCCUUUAUUAUGAAAGCAAAUGCUAGGCUGGCCACCUCCUGGCCUUGGCUUCCGGCUGUGGGACACCCUCCUCCCUCCUGGAUAGCAGACCAAGCAGGCAGCAGAGGCGGGGCUAAGGAAGCCUCCUCCUACCAUGACCUUGCCUCCUUUCCCUCUGAACCUCUGCCUCCAGCAGUUGUGAGUCACAAAAUAAAUGGAAUUGAUCGGAGCCCCCAUUCUUAACCCAGUCACCCCCGUGAUGAACUGAAGAUUCAUUAUUUUGUUUGUCAGCAAGCCUGCUGGUACACACCUCUAACCCCAGCACUGGGGAGGGUAAGGCAGGAGGAUUGCUAGUUGGAGAUCAGGCUGGGCUACAUAAUAACACUAUCUGAAAAAACACAAAGGGCUGGGCUAUAGCUUGGCUGCCAGGCGAGUGCUUGACUAGCCUUCAGAAAACAGUAGGUUUGGAGGCGAGUGCUUGACUAGCCUUCAGAAAACAGUAGGUUUGGUCCCCAGAUCAAACCAGAGUAGUGGCACUAAAAACAAUAAGUAAAUUUAAAACUUACUCGCCUUGACAUGCAGUAAACCUGGAGGGCGCCCGGUAUUUCCAUAGAGAAGAGUUUCUAGCCAUCAGCCCUCUUGAUUAUGGAGAUCAGACACUGUGCUUGUUCCGGUGGAGUGGGCUGUAGAGUUGUCUGAUGAGUCCGAGUCCUUCGAGUUCUCUUAGGGGAUCCGCCUCACCCCUCCCUGUUCCUACCAAGCCCACCGGUAGGUACGGUGCUGGGGUUUACUGUCUUCCCAGAUGCAGCCUUCAUGGGUCCCGGCUUAGUGCAGUGGCCUCCUCCCUGAGCUGGGGUUGAUGUCACAGUGGCAGGUCCAGAGAGUCAGGCACCUUCCUGACAGCAGGGUGAGGAGGGUGAAGAAUCAUCAGGGCGUCUUCCUGGGUCUCAUUUUUUAAUCUAAGCAUCACUUUUGUCCUUCCUAGUGUGAGCCGCUUUCAGACAGACCUUAUGGCCUCGUGGCUACAUUCUCAAGGCCCAGCAGAGACAGCCCCCAUAAGACC
rnacentral:lncRNA from 1 species